AAGAAGUCCUUUUAAAACCUCUCUUGGAGAAAGGAUCUUAAUACAGAAAGAGUGUUCUUUUGACUUUCAGAAUGGGGCUGAGUAGGUAAUAUAUAUUUAGUAAUGAAACAGAGUUUAGUACCUUCUCAGAAAGUUAACCUCCAUGGUUGUCACUUAAAUUAUACAAAGGAAAUAUUGAAUAUGUGAGUGACUGUGGGCCAUUUUUAUAGAGGCUGGAGUAAACUGGCUAUAUUGACUUUUAGAAUGUGUUGACUUGUAAUAACAAUAAUUGCUAAUAUUUACGGAAUACAUUCUAUUUGCCAGGCGCAAAUUGCAGCUCUUUCUAUGGAGCAUCUAAUUUAAUCUUCAGAAGGACACUUAUGAGUUAGAGCUGAAAAAGGCAAGAGAGGUGAAUUGGAUAGUUCGUCAUUUGCUUACUUUUUCAUCUAAAUCUGCUCCUUCAAGAGAAAAAGCACUUUCAUUGCCUCCCCAUCCUAAGAGUCUGACAAUGGAAUGAUUAUCUUGUGUGUAGAAGAAAGGUGUAGAGUUAGUAACACUGUGCUUGCUCUAUUAAGGAACACUGGUAAUUAGCAAUUGAUUUAUGUAACUAUAAAAGACAGUUUUGAAAAAAUAAGAAUCAAUGUUUAAUUAUG